GAGUUUGAUCCUGGCUCAGGACGAACGCUGGCGGCGUGCUUAACACAUGCAAGUCGCACGAGGACGGGAGCUUGCUCCCGAGCCGAGUGGCGGACGGGUGAGUAACACGUGACCAACCUGUCCUAGGGUGAGGGACAACCUGGGGAAACCCGGGCUAAUACCGCAUGACGUCUCGAGGUCGCAUGGCCAAGAGAUCAAAGAGGGCCUCUGCUUGCAAGCUCUCGCCCUGGGAGGGGGUCGCGGCGUAUCAGCUAGUUGGUGAGGUAACGGCUCACCAAGGCUACGACGCGUAGCGGGUCUGAGAGGACGACCCGCCUCAUUGGGACUGAGAUACAGCCCAGACUCCUACGGGAGGCAGCAGUGGGGAAUAUUGCGCAAUGGACGAAAGUCUGACGCAGCGACGCCGCGUGUGGGAGGAAGCCUUUCGGGGUGUAAACCACUGUCAGGAGGGAAGAAACUCGCCGGCCCGAACAGGAACGGCGAUUGACGGUACCUCCAAAGGAA
rnacentral:rRNA from 1 species